rnacentral:rRNA from 1 species
UGAGGAACAUGACCUUCGGCGGGGGAUAGCCGGCCCAACGGCCGGGUAAUACCGCGUACGACCACAUGGGGACAUCCCUGAGUGGUGAAAGCAGCAAUGCGCCGAUGGAGUGCCUCGCGGCCUAUCAGCUAGUUGGUGAGGUAACGGCUCACCAAGGCGACGACGGGUANCUGGUCUGAGAGGAUGGCCAGCCACAUUGGGACUGAGACACGGUCCAGACCUNUACGGGAGG